rnacentral:rRNA from 1 species
GACGAACGCUGGCGGCGUGCUUAACACAUGCAAGUCGAACGGAAAGGCCCCUUCGGGGGUACUCGAGUGGCGAACGGGUGAGUAACACGUGGGUGAUCUGCCCUGCACUUCGGGAUAAGCCUGGGAAACUGGGUCUAAUACCGGAUAGGACCUCUCUUUAGUGUGAGGGGGUGGAAAGAUUUAUCGGUGCAGGAUGAGCCCGCGGCCUAUCAGCUUGUUGGUGGGGUAAUGGCCUACCAAGGCGUCGACGGGUAGCCGGCCUGAGAGGGUGGACGGCCACAUUGGGACUGAGAUACGGCCCAGACUCCUACGGGUGGCAG